CCUGCUCUACUGCUGUGCUGAAAGCAAAGUCUCCUGGAGACCUGCAGUUCAGAGCGUUCAAGAACUACAACCUGUCAGCAAGAGUACUGGGAAUGAGGUCUGCCUGGAUAACCCUGUCCAUCAUUCAGCUCUGUGCUCAUGACCAGCUUUGUUUUGAUUCUAUACAGAUCAGUUACAACCCAGCAAAGAAUAUCCAAGGGAUUCAAGAUCUCACCCAGUCUGAGCAGAGGACUUAUCCCCCAUUUACCUGGAGAGGAAAGCAGGACUGUGGCUGCACCACCAUGGACACAGGAUUUUAUGGGCCACCAGAGCCAAUCAAACUGUCACAUGCUAAAUGUAAGAAUGUUCCCUGGCUUGAGGGCUGAAAAACUGAAUGAACAAUUGGAACAAAAGUCUGGUAAUAGGGAAUUCUGUGGAAUGGCCUAAACACCAAAGAAAUAGUUUACAGAUCCACAUGAGGAGCUGCACUAUAAUUGGUGAGUCCAGAUUUUUCCUUCACUGCCAUUCAUAGUUACAGAAGUGCAUAAAACGAUCAUUGCUUAUUUUAA